GCAGGGAAGACGGAAGGGCUGACAUUUUGCGGCAUCUGCGAUUGGCAAAAUAUUAAAAAGAAUUACAAGGUCAAGUUAUGUGGAUCUCCUCCAGGCUGUCGCACUAAAUUUAGUUGUGAAGUCUCCUUAGGCUCUUCUUGGCAGUGACAGCUUUUCAGCCUUCUUGUUUUCGACGACCUUGACAGUUUGGGGGAUUACUGGUCAGACUCCAGGAAGUACUCAGAACCUAGAACCCGAGGCUGAGGCAUCAGUGAAACAUCCGUCAAGAGGAC